AUUGAACGCUGGCGGAAUGCUUUACACAUGCAAGUCGAACGGCAGCACGGACUUCGGUCUGGUGGCGAGUGGCGAACGGGUGAGUAAUGUAUCGGAACGUGCCCAGUCGAGGGGGAUAACGUAGUGAAAAUUACGCUAAUACCGCAUACGAUCUAUGGUUGAAAGCGGGGGAUCGCAAGACCUCGCGCGAUUGGAGCGGCCGAUAUCAGAUUAGGUAGUUGGUGGGGUAAAGGCCCACCAAGCCAACGAUCUGUAGCUGGUCUGAGAGGACGACCAGCCAAACUGGAACUGAGACACGGUCCAGACUCCUACGGGAGGCAGCAGUGGGGAAUUUUGGACAAUGGGCGAAAGCCUGAUCCAGCCAUUCCGCGUGCGGGAUGAAGGCCCUCGGGUUGUAAACUGCUUUUGUACAGAACGAAAAGGUUUCUACUAAUACUAGGAGCUCAUGACGGUACUGUAAGAAUAAGCACCGGCUAACUACGUGCCAGCCGCCGCCGUAA
rnacentral:rRNA from 1 species